AUGUAUGCUGGUGUUUUCCAGUUCUCUACAUUGUUUUUACUUUUUAUUAUGUUCUUGUUCUAUAGCAUUUUUUUGUCUCCCUUUUUUUUUCCAGAGCUCCUCAGUUUCUACAAGUUCCCUGACGAGAUGCGGUUCCUAUCAUCCGCGGACCUGGCUUGUCAUCCACAGAUGGCCAUGGUUAUCCUCCUCCUCCUCCUGCCCCUCGUGCCUCUCGCCGCUGCCCAAGCAUGGCCAUUUUGUGGCGACAGCGGUGUCUACGAAUCAGAUAGCACCUACGAAGCCAACCUCGAGCUCCUCUCAACCACCCUCCCGAAGAAAGCAGCGUCCAGCACCAACCUCUUCGCCACCGACACCGUUGGCAUUGUUCCGAAUGUCAUCUUCGCCCUCGCACUCUGCCGCGUGGACUCCAACGCCUCUGCCUGCGAGGGCUGUUUGGUUACCGCCUUCCAGGACGGGCAGGAGCACUGCGCGAACAAUAAGGACGCCGCCGUGUACUAUGAUAGCAAUCCCUGCAUGCUCAGGUUCUCCAACCAGAAUUUUCUUGCUACCAACGUCAAUGACAAUAUACUCGUCGUUCCGAGCAUGGAAAUGCCGCUCAUCACCUGGACAAGAGCCGACUUCUCCAGGAUCCUGUUUUUCACGCUUCUGAACAGCACGGCUGAAUCGGCCGCGGACAGCCCAAGGUGGUUCACCACCUCGCGCUUAGACAUCAGCUCCUUCCCUACGCUCUACUGCCUUAUGCAGUGCACGCCAGACCUGACCGCCGACGACUGCAUGGCCUGUUUGCAGCCUUACUCCCAGUAUACACUCAAGUACAUGGAUGGUCAGAAAGGUGGUCAAAUUCUGGGGACACGGUGUAGCAUGAGGUACGAGAUAUACCCAUUCUUCCAAGGGGAGACCAUGCUGCGUAUUAGCAACUUGGCAUCUGAAGUUCCGGCAAUCAACAACACCUUGCCGCCAGUUACAGUGUACCCGCAUUUGCCGGUUUCGCAAGCCACCAUCCAAGAAUAUCAGGGACGCAACUCCCGCCGGAAGGUGCUGCGGAUUAUUGCUAUUGCAGCUCCAUUACUGUCAAUAUUUCUGUGCUUUAUCUGUUGCAUUGUAUGGAUGACAAGACGAAGAAAAGGAACUGAUAUCUUACACGAUCAAGCUGCCAUGAAUAGGCUGGAAGAAGACGCAUUCGUUUCGAGAUUGGAAGACAAGAGUUUAGAGUUCACUCUCUUUGAAUUUUCUGAGAUAUUGCAUGCUACACACAACUUCUCCAAAGAAAACCUACUUGGGCAAGGUGGUUUUGGUCCUGUCUACAAGGGCCAAUUACCAGAUGGAGUGGAAAUUGCAGUUAAAAGGCUUGCCUCACAUUCAGGACAGGGUUUCACAGAAUUCAAAAAUGAAGUUGAACUUAUUGCAAAACUACAGCACAAUAAUCUGGUCAAGCUCAUAGGAUGCUGCAUUGAGGGAGAGGAAAAACUUUUGGUGUACGAAUAUUUGCCAAAUAAGAGCUUGGACUUCUUUAUCUUUGGUAUGCACAAUGUAGGUUAA
rnacentral:rRNA from 1 species